AUGAUGGAUUCGGGAGAGACUGCACAGGCAGCGCCGAAGGGGAAGCGAAGAACUCUCAGGCAAAAGAACCGGAUACUGGAC
rfam:Clostridium bolteae CAG:59 genomic scaffold, scf255